rnacentral:rRNA from 1 species
UACGUAGGGGGCGAGCGUUGUCCGGAAUUAUUGGGCGUAAAGAGCGUGUAGGCGGUUCGGUAAGUCUGCCGUGAAAACCUGGGGCUCAACCCCGGGCGUGCGGUGGAUACUGCCGGGCUAGAGUCCGGAAGAGGAGAGUGGAAUUCCUGGUGUAGCGGUGAAAUGCGCAGAUAUCAGGAAGAACACCAAUGGCGAAAGCAGCUCUCUGGGACGGUACUGACGCUGAGACGCGAAAGCGUGGGGAGCGAACAGG